UGCAGUCGAGCGGAUGAAGGGAGCUUGCUCCCUGAUUCAGCGGCGGACGGGUGAGUAAUGCCUAGGAAUCUGCCUGGUAGUGGGGGACAACGUUUCGAAAGGAACGCUAAUACCGCAUACGUCCUACGGGAGAAAGCAGGGGACCUUCGGGCCUUGCGCUAUCAGAUGAGCCUAGGUCGGAUUAGCUAGUUGGUGAGGUAAUGGCUCACCAAGGCGACGAUCCGUAACUGGUCUGAGAGGAUGAUCAGUCACACUGGAACUGAGACACGGUCCAGACUCCUACGGGAGGCAGCAGUGGGGAAUAUUGGACAAUGGGCGAAAGCCUGAUCCAGCCAUGCCGCGUGUGUGAAGAAGGUCUUCGGAUUGUAAAGCACUUUAAGUUGGGAGGAAGGGUUGUAGAUUAAUACUCUGCAAUUUUGACGUUACCGACAGAAUAAGCACCGGCUAACUCUGUGCCAGCAGCCGCGGUAAUACAGAGGGUGCAAGCGUUAAUCGGAAUUACUGGGCGUAAAGCGCGCGUAGGUGGUUUGUUAAGUCGGAUGUGAAAUCCCCGGGCUCAACCUGGGAACUGCAUCCGAAACUGGCAAGCUAGAGUAUGGUAGAGGGUAGUGGAAUUUCCUGUGUAGCGGUGAAAUGCGUAGAUAUAGGAAGGAACACCAGUGGCGAAGGCGACUACCUGGAC
rnacentral:rRNA from 1 species